rnacentral:rRNA from 1 species
GACGAACGCUGGCGGCGUGCUUAACACAUGCAAGUCGAACGGUAAGGCCCUUCGGGGUACACGAGUGGCGAACGGGUGAGUAACACGUGGGUGAUCUGCCCUGCACUUCGGGAUAAGCCUGGGAAACUGGGUCUAAUACCGGAUAGGACCACUGCCUGCAUGGGUGGUGGUGGAAAGCUUUUGCGGUGUGGGAUGGGCCCGCGGCCUAUCAGCUUGUUGGUGGGGUGAUGGCCUACCAAGGCGACGACGGGUAGCCGGCCUGCGAGGGGGACCGGCCACACUGGGACUGAGAUACGGCCCAGACUCCUACGGGAGGCAGCAGUGGGGAAUAUUGCACAAUGGGCGCAAGCCUGAUGCAGCGACGCCGCGUGAGGGAUGACGGCCUUCGGGUUGUAAACCUCUUUCAGCACCGACGAAGCGCAAGUGACGGUAGGUGCAGAAGAAGGACCGGCCAACUACGUGCCAGCCGCCGCCGAAA